CUCACCAGUGUUCCCCCUAACUGCACAUAAUGGGAAAGGAAUGGCAGGACCCCAAGGAUGAAGAGAGGUGCUGUGUUGGAAGGAGUUAUACCUUUAUCCAAAACGUCCAACCUCCCAUGAAGUUUUCCUCUUUAAACUUCUCUAAUACUGGGGAGUCAUGGUGAUGAAGAUCUCCCAACUUCUUUAUAAAGUGGCUGAAUCCACAGAUGCGGAACCCAUGGGUACACCCCCUAAACUGGCUGGACCACUGGAGCCAUCCACACCGCUGAGGCACUGUUUUCUACUAUAAGCAUUGCAGAUUGUUCCCACCCGAGUUCUGAUUUGGUGGGUCUGGGAAGGUGGGUUGUCUAAGAUUGUUUAUUGGAACGGGCUCUGGGCACGCUGAUGUUGUCCUCUGAGGAAUGAGGUUAAGGCAAGCAACCUCCCCACCAAAAAAGAUGGUGAAAGUGUUUAUUUCACUUCCUGGGACAUUUUUGACAGCAGGGCCUCCUCUACAGACUUCUGCCUUGGUAAACUAUAAAAGAAACCUAGAAGUUGCCCCCUGCUAGUAUUUUGCUCCUAGUGGUAUUAGAGACACUGCAUUCUGUAUACUGACAGGACAUUUUCUACCUUGUAAAAUUCCUGCCUGUAGGUGUGUUCAGGUAACCACAGGUCCCAAAC
ensembl:lncRNA